UAAGUCGGGAAUGGAUAAACGCUGAAAGCAUCUAAGCGUGAAGCCAACCUCAAGAUGAGAUUUCCCAUAGCGUAAGCUAGUAAGAUCCCUUGAAGAACACAAGGUUGAUAGGUCGGGGGUGUAAGCAUGGUAACAUGUUCAGCUGACCGGUACUAAUAGAUCGAGGGCUUGACCAAAUA
rnacentral:rRNA from 1 species